rnacentral:rRNA from 1 species
GACGAACGCUGGCGGCGUGCUUAACACAUGCAAGUCGAACGAUGAAGCUGGAGCUUGCUCCGGUGGAUUAGUGGCGAACGGGUGAGUAACACGUGAGCAAUCUGCCCUUGACUCUGGGAUAACUGCAGGAAACUGUAGCUAAUACCGGAUAUGAGGCUCGAAGGCAUCUUCGGGUCUGGAAAGAAUUUCGGUCAAGGAUGAGCUCGCGGCCUAUCAGCUUGUUGGUGAGGUAAUGGCUCACCAAGGCGACGACGGGUAGCCGGCCUGAGAGGGUGGCCGGCCACACUGGGACUGAGACACGGCCCAGACUCCUACGGGAGGCAGCAGUGGGGAAUAUUGUACAAUGGGCGAAAGCCUGAUGCAGCAACGCCGCGUGAGGGAUGAAGGCCUUCGGGUUGUAAACCUCUUUUAGCAGGGAAGAAGCGAAAGUGACGGUACCUGCAGAAAAAGCACCGGCUAACUACGUGCCAGCAGCCGCCGCCG